AGCUGACUACUCUUGCUAUAAGAUGUUCAUUGCGUUCAUCACAGAGACGGCAUGGGGGAAGAAACUGUCUCUGCAGCUCUGUACUGCCUCCCUGAAGAUCUGUGCAAGUCCUGGAUGGAGGGAAGAUCAGCCCUGACAAUCCGCUCUGCAGAUGUAUGAAAUGGAGUUUAAACGAAAAUUCAACAUCACCAUCAACUCCAGCUUCAUCUAAUUACUCCUCAGUGCAGCUCUGCUCCACCAAUCAGCGUCAAGUCUGCAUUUCUCCCUCGCCAAUCAUCCUUCAAGGCUCC